rnacentral:rRNA from 1 species
AACGUAGGACGCAGCGUUAUCCGGAGUUACUGGGCGUAAAGCGCGGGCAGGCGGCGUUCUAAGUCUGGAUGUGAAAGCGCCCGGCUAACCGGGCGAGGCCAUUCGAAACUGAGGCAGCUGGAGGGCAGUAGAGGCAUGGGCGGAAUUCCGGGUGGAGUGGUGAAAUGCGUAGAGAUCCGGAGGAACACCAGAGGCGAAGGCGGCCACUGGGCUGCACCUGAGCGC